rnacentral:misc_RNA from 1 species
CGCCGUCAUCACCACCACCCAUCGUUCCCUUCCUCGCCGCACAGGUACAAGACACACACGCACACACGCUCGCACCCAAGCGUAGAAGCACGUAGCGGGCGGCAAGUGGGCGGGAGCAUCAAGUCUCCUCUCCGAGGCGCCUUUGGCCAUCCCGUGGAGCGAGGCUGUUAGGACAGCUCUCUCCAUUCAAGACACCACUUGUGAUGUGCAACCGCUGCCCGUCACCGAGGCGGAUGCGCUCGUGCAGCGCUUCAUCUCUUUUCUAUAUGAGAUGCGUAAUACCUCCGUCGCUCAUCGGCUCGUCUUUUCCUAUCGCGCAGGUGGCCUUCUCUCUUUGAAGCAGGCGGAGCAGACCGGUUUCGGCACGCGUGUGUUGGUGGGCGAUGCAACUCAGAGUAGGCCAGCAUCGUCACACGCUGACGUCAAGCAUGGGGCAGUGAUGUGUCGCUGACUACCAGCCAGGUCAUCAUCGCUCGGCAUCUGCGAUGGCGAUGCCGACGACGUUGCAGACGACAUCCGAAAGGAGGAGAGCGGGAACGUCAUGUUGGGUGCCCAGUUCAAUCUGGGUGACGUGUCCGCUGCACCGGCAGCGGUCCGCCAGCAGCUGACUCAGCCUCGCUGCGCACUGCUCUAUAUAUGUUCCACGUCUCCGCGCCGUAUAGUAGCGAGGCGCCCGUCGACUCUCGCUGGGCGAGCACGACUGUGGACGGACGCGUGCCACAACUACUGGUUUGCCGCGCACGUGGUGCGGUCGCUCUUAAGGAUGUGAGAUCAGCUCGGGCAGACGCGGUUUGUGCGCCGAGCGCCAAGAGUGAGGGAGGCUUCGGUGUUGCACAGAUGCACACGCAUGCAUCUCUACCCUUAACCCUUCCCCGCAUCCUCCCCCCGACUCUUCCACUGUCUGCAUUAACCACUACCACCGCCAACACUUCCGCUUUCGCUGUUCUUGUUGUGUUGGGCUCUUUGCCUUCCCUACGCGACUAUUUCCUGACGCUUCUCUUGUUGCAUACCACGCUGCGUUCUGUGUGGCUCCGCCCACCACGCCCCUUUUCCUCUCCUAUCACGCAUCCGUCUUCUCUCUCCCUCGCUCGCUAGCCUGCAGUCUGUGUGUCGUGGAGUCCGCAUGCAUACCUCCUUGUUGCCCCUAACCCUCUCCCCCUGCCUGUCUCUCGCAAGACCCCCCCCUUCUGUGUCCGCCCCACCGUCGAUCUGCUUUCUUCUCCUCCCCCUCCAAGUCGGGGGAGGGAGGGAUGCCGAAGAAUGGGGGCGCCGCGCCUUUUAGGAGUGGUGGUUGGCUACACGGGACCCUCUUCAUGUGUCUUUGUGUCCCUCAAUGUGACUGUAGUAGGCACUCUAGUGCGUGUGGCACGCGGUCGGCUACGCUGGCCUCCUCCUACCCCCUUGUCACUUGACCAUCUCUCUCUCUCUCUGUUGCUACGUUCGCCCUCUCGAAACGGUGCCUGGGCCGUGGGUAG